GAGUAAUGUCUGGGAAACUGCCUGAUGGAGGGGGAUAACUACUGGAAACGGUAGCUAAUACCGCAUAACGUCGCAAGACCAAAGAGGGGGACCUUCGGGCCUCUUGCCAUCGGAUGUGCCCAGAUGGGAUUAGCUAGUAGGUGGGGUAACGGCUCACCUAGGCGACGAUCCCUAGCUGGUCUGAGAGGAUGACCAGCCACACUGGAACUGAGACACGGUCCAGACUCCUACGGGAGGCAGCAGUGGGGA
rnacentral:rRNA from 1 species